rnacentral:rRNA from 1 species
GACGAACGCUGGCGGCGUGCUUAACACAUGCAAGUCGAACGGUGAACCUCUUCGGAGGGGAUCAGUGGCGAACGGGUGAGUAACACGUGGGCAACCUGCCCCCGGCUCUGGGAUAACUCCAAGAAAUUGGGGCUAAUACCGGAUGUUCACCGCUUCCCGCAUGGGUGGUGGUGGAAAGGGUUUCCGGCUGGGGAUGGGCCCGCGGCCUAUCAGCUUGUUGGUGGGGUAGUGGCCUACCAAGGCGACGACGGGUAGCCGGCCUGAGAGGGUGACCGGCCACACUGGGACUGAGACACGGCCCAGACUCCUACGGGAGGCAGCAGUGGGGAAUAUUGCGCAAUGGACGGAAGCCUGACGCAGCGACGCCGCGUGGGGGAUGACGGCCUUCGGGUUGUAAACCUCUUUCAGCAGGGACGAAGCGCAAGUGACGGUACCUGCAGAAGAAGCACCGGCCAACUACGUG